GAUGAACGCUGGCGGCGUGCCUAAUACAUGCAAGUCGAGCGAACAGAUGAGGAGCUUGCUCCUCUGACGUUAGCGGCGGACGGGUGAGUAACACGUGGAUAACCUACCUAUAAGACUGGGAUAACUUCGGGAAACCGGAGCUAAUACCGGAUAAUAUAUUGAACCGCAUGGUUCAAUAGUGAAAGACGGUUUUGCUGUCACUUAUAGAUGGAUCCGCGCCGCAUUAGCUAGUUGGUAAGGUAACGGCUUACCAAGGCAACGAUGCGUAGCCGACCUGAGAGGGUGAUCGGCCACACUGGAACUGAGACACGGUCCAGACUCCUACGGGAGGCAGCAGUAGGGAAUCUUCCGCAAUGGGCGAAAGCCUGACGGGGCAACGCCGCGUGAGUGAUGAAGGUCUUCGGAUCGUAAAACUCUGUUAUUAGGGAAGAACAAAUGUGUAAGUAACUAUGCACGUCUUGACGGUACCUAAUCAGAAAGCCACGGCUAACUAC
rnacentral:rRNA from 1 species